CCUACGGGGGGCAGCAGUGGGGAAUAUUGGGCAAUGGGCGCAAGCCUGACCCAGCAACGCCGCGUGAAGGAAGAAGGCUUUCGGGUUGUAAACUUCUUUUGUCAGGGACGAAGCAAGUGACGGUACCUGACGAAUAAGCCACGGCUAACUACGUGCCAGCAGCCGCGGUAAUACGUAGGUGGCAAGCGUUAUCCGGAUUUACUGGGUGUAAAGGGCGUGUAGGCGGGACUGCAAGUCAGAUGUGAAAGCCACGGGCUCAACCUGUGGCUUGCAUUUGAUAAUGUAGUUCUUGAGUACUGGAGAGGGAGACGGAAUUCCUAGUGUAGCGGUGAAAUGCGUAGAGAUGAGGAGGAACACCAGUGGCGAAGGCGGUCUGCUGGACAGCGACUGACGCUGAGGCGCGAAAGCGUGGGGAGCAAACAGGAUUAGAUACCCUUGUAGUC
rnacentral:rRNA from 1 species